rnacentral:tRNA from 1 species
GCCGCCGCGCGCCCGGCAGGGCGUCGCCCCUUUCCGACGGGGCCAGCUGGAAGCGCGGGUUCGAGUCCCGCCGGCGGCAC